rnacentral:rRNA from 1 species
AGAAUCAACGCUGGCGGCGUGCCUAACACAUGCAAGUCGAACGAGAAAGGGUAGCAAUACCUGAGUAAAGUGGCGCACGGGUGAGUAACACGUGACUAACCUACCCUGGAAUGGGGGAUAACUGAGGGAAACCUUAGCUAAUACCGCAUAAUACCUACGGGUCAAAGGAGCAAUUCGCUUUGGGAGGGGUCGCGGCCGAUUAGUUAGUUGGCGGGGUAAUGGCCCACCAAGACGAUGAUCGGUAUCCGGCCUGAGAGGGCGCACGGACACACUGGAACUGAAACACGGUCCAGACUCCUACGGGAGGCAGCAGUGGGAAUUUUGCGCAAUGGGGGAAACCCUGACGCAGCAACGCCGCGUGGAGGAUGAAGUACUUCGGUACGUAAACUCCUUUCGAUCGGGACGAUUAUGACGGUACCGAGAGAAGAAGCCCCGGCUAACUUCGCGCCAGCAGCCGC